UCGAGAAUUUUUCACAAUGGGCGCAAGCCUGAUGGAGCGACGCCGCGUGGGGGAUGAAGGCCUUCGGGUCGUAAACCCCUGUCAUUCGCGAACAAACCUCGUUAUUUAAAAGAUGACGAGCUGAUUGUAGCGGAAGAGGAAGAGACGGCUAACUCUGUGCCAGCAGCCGCGGUAAUACAGAGGUCUCAAGCGUUGUUCGGAUUCACUGGGCGUAAAGGGUGCGUAGGUGGUGAGGUAAGUCUGAUGUGAAAUCUCCAAGCUUAACUUGGAAAUGGCAUUGGAAACUACCCCGCUAGAGGAGUGGAGGGGGGACUGGAAUGCUUGGUGUAGCAGUGAAAUGCGUAGAUAUCAAGCGGAACACCGGUGGCGAAGGCGAGUCCCUGGACACCUCCUGACACUGAGGCACGAAAGCUAGGGGAGCAAACAG
rnacentral:rRNA from 1 species